AUUCCAGCUCCAAUAGCGUAUAUUAAAGUUGUUGCAGUUAAAAAGCUCGUAGUUGGAUUUCUGGUCUGAUGCCCUGGCCCGCCUCAAUUUCGAGGUGAGUGCCGGCUGUGCGUCUACCAUCCUUCUAGAAAACGUUCCUACCCUUCACUGGGCCGGGUUCGCGAUCUAGAUCUUUUACUUUGAAAAAAUUAGAGUGUUUAAAGCAGGCUUUUGCUAUGAAUACAUUAGCAUGGAAUAAUAAUCUAGGACUUCGGUUCUAUUUUGUUGGUUUCUAGUACUGAAGUAAUGAUUGAUAGGGAUAGUUGGGGGUGCUAGUAUUGACCGGCCAGAGGUGAAAUUCUUGGAUUCGGUCAAGACUAACUUAUGCGAAAGCAUUCACCAAGGAUGUCUUCAUUG
rnacentral:rRNA from 1 species